CUCAGACCCCUCUCCUCCCACUCUAGCUCCAACAACUCUGACUCCACCUACCCACGACACAAGGUUGCCAUUUAUGUCCUCAAUUCCUUAUUGUGCCUCACCUCUCCUCUCACUUUGACUCCACUCAUUCUGACUCCACUUAUCUACCACACAAAACAUAAGCUAUCUAUUUAGCCCAUCUUAUAAGUUGCCCAUGUAGCAUGGUUAAGACUUAAAGUGGAUAGCAGCCUAUUUAGCCAAUCUAUCAACUAUCCAUUUGAUAGAAGCACAAUAGCCCACAACCCAAUAGACCGAA
rnacentral:lncRNA from 1 species